rnacentral:lncRNA from 1 species
CAUCCUCACCGCAAGCUGCCCGCACCUUCCUCCUCCCCGUGCCUCCGGAGUCCCCAGUGCCAGCUCGGAGGGGAGUUGGCACGGAUGGAGGCUGGCCAGCGUCUCGCGGCUGAGUAUAGGCACGCUUCUUUUUUUUUUUUUUUUGUAUUUUAAACACACACACAUAUUCUCACACGCACACACGCCAAGCCCCCACCCCUGGCAACACACAUCCCUCCUGUCAGGAGCAGACAUAGCCAAGAAAGCCCAGAGCAGGCGGGGGCAGAGAGAAGGGGCUUCGCCGAACGGAGGAACCUCAGCCCGCAGCUCUGUCCCUGCCCGUCCCCAUUGCUCUCCCUCUUACGUAAACCACCAGGAAGAAGAAGAGGAAACACGGAUCCACGUCACAUCGAGGAGCCUCCUGAUUGGGCGUACCUUCCCCUGCCAGGUCCCCUGGGACACACGCCAGCCCCGGCCACCCUGUCCCCUGCCCAGCCCCCCGCCUCCCCCAACGGUCUGCCACGGUGACCACACCCAGCUCCCUGCGUUUCUUCUCUUGAAAGGCGUUUAUUCAUCGAGUGCCAACCCUGGCUCCUGUGCGGACACGGCGGCUGGCAAGACAGCAGGGCUGGCCGAGAGUCUGGCGGGAUGACCCCGGGGGUUGUUGCCUGCCAUGGGCACAGUCCGGGAGUCCUGACCUACGUCUGAGGGCCAGAGGGCAUCCCAACUGGACGUGAAAGGCCAGCCUCAGGCUGAGGACGGGGUGGAACAGAGCCUCGGCCAGGCUCCUGCUAGAGAGCGGUUGCCGGCACUUGCUCUGUGCUGACCCCGCUGUCUCUGUCGCCUCCCUUGCUUGAAGAGCCCCAUGUUGGUUAUGCAUGACCUCUGACCCUGGAGACGCAGGUGACAACUCCCGGGCAUCGGGGAGACGAGGUGUUGGGGACAGAGCCGGCGGUCAUAGCCUCCAGCUCCUCUUCCUGCAUGGAGUGACCUGGCGCCGCGAGGUGGAGCUGGUGUCCGAGCCCUGAGGAUGAGGCUGCUCCCUCCGCAAGGUGGGCGAGGAGCCAGGAAGAGCCAAGGGAGUGGCCACCCUGCCCUGACGGCCACCAACGGCCACCACGUCACCCUAGAAGACAACCCAAGCCCGUCUCCCCACACCUCGCGGAUGGUGCAGU